rnacentral:rRNA from 1 species
UACGUAGGGGGCAAGCGUUGUCCGGAUUUAUUGGGCGUAAAAGGCUUGUAGGUGGCCACGCCAAGUCGGAUGUGAAAUCUCCCGGCUCAACUGGGAGGGUCAUUCGAUACUGGCGGGCUCGAGGCCGGUAGGGGGAAGUGGAAUUCCCGGUGGUAGUGGUGGAAUGCGUAGAUAUCGGGAGGAACACCAGUGGCGGAAGGCGGCUUCCUGGACCGGUUCUGACACUGAGGAGCGAAAGCGUGGGGAGCGAUCCGG